rnacentral:rRNA from 1 species
UAAUACGUAGGUGGCAAGCGUUGUCCGGAUUUAUUGGGUUUAAAGGGUGCGUAGGCGGUCUUUUAAGUCAGUGGUGAAAUACGGCAGCUCAACUGUCGAGGUGCCAUUGAUACUGGGAGACUUGAGUACUGAUGAGGUAGGCGGAAUGGACGGUGUAGCGGUGAAAUGCUUAGAUAUCGUCCAGAACACCGAUAGCGAAGGCAGCUUACUAAGGAGUAACUGACGCUGAGGCACGAAAGUGUGGGGAUCAAACAGGAUUAGAUACCCUGGUAGUCCACACUGUAAACGAUGAUCACUCGAUGUUGGCGAUACACAGCCAGCGUCUUAGCAAAAGCGAUAAGUGAUCCACCUGGGGAGUACGCCGGCAACGGUG